rnacentral:rRNA from 1 species
CUACCUCAAGAUAAGAUUUCCCUAGGACUUUAUGUCCUCUAAAGAGCCGUUCGAGACUAGGACGUUGAUAGGUUGGAUGUGGAAGCAUAGUGAUAUGUGAAGCUGACCAAUACUAAUUGCUCGUGAGGCUUGACUAUACAACACCCAAGCAGUUG